rnacentral:rRNA from 1 species
GACGGGAUAAGUGCUGAAAGCAUCUAAGCAUGAAGCCCCCCUCAAGAUGAGAUUUCCCAUUCCGCAAGGAAGUAAGAUCCCUGAAAGAUGAUCAGGUUGAUAGGUCUGAGGUGGAAGCGUGGUGACAUGUGUAGCUGACAGAUACUAAUAGAUCGAGGACUUAACCUAUA